ensembl:lncRNA
CAUCGUUGUCUAACAAUGAAAGUGGAGUAUCUGCAUGUAAGUGGAGCUCUUGGACUCUCACUAAGGAGUCCAACUGACCAGUCAUUUAAUUUCCACCUCUCAUUAGACUUCUAUUCUUAGAUCUGUGGGGGUCCGUCCCUGUAAAAGUUCAGGGGGCUUGAGGAGGACCAGACGGGGCUACCAUCUCAGCCUGGCCCAGUUCUUCCAGAGGCAGGGCAGGGAGCUCUGUAGCUGGCCUCAGAUCCUGGAGGAGCUCCCCUGGCACCUGGAGCAGAGUGAGGCCUGGAGGGAGCUACACACCUUCUUCAUAGAUCCACAGUAAGAGCAUGGAUAUACACUUCACACAUAAGGACACUAGGGGCACACAGUUACUGUUGGGUAAAAUAGUUUAGCCGCAGAUMAACUGUCAUCAUAUAUUUAACCUAACACUUAAACUGGGUGAGCCUUUAUAUCGGUUUACAGAUUCGCAUGUUUAACCAUCAUUUGUUUACAUAACGGUAUCCACUUACUAUCUGACCCGAGYACUGUAGAGCACCUGUUUAUAACUUGGAGACAGUCUCCUCAGCUGAGAAUGGAUGUUGUCCGGUACUGGACUCUCCUGAUCCUCAGAGGUUAUGACCCCUACACCUCGUACCAGAGCCUGCUGGGUAAGGGAAUCCACCCUCGUUCUCUUGUCCAAUCAGGGCGAUGAGCAUUCCCUCCUGCUACAUAUACAGGAAGMGAGGAAGCAGAGCAGAUCCCACUGCAGGCUGAGAACAACCUCACACAGGCUGGUGAGCAGGACAGAAACAGGGAGAGUGUGAUGUUACUGCUGACAGCGCGGCAGACUUUGGCUGAGCUCUAUGGAGACGGACCAGCACAGAGAGGCAGAGACGUACUGUAGAUCAGCUCUGGAGACCGCCCAGACUCACACCGCUACCUGCCUUGAGAGACAUGAGAGAAUCACUGUUGGAAAGGGUCAGUUGCUUUGUGUACUCUGCCAGCUUGCUGUUUGUAGACGUCCGAACCAUCGAGGCCUCUCAGAUACUCAAUGGCAUCAUCAAUAUGGGACACCACAAACUCCACCUGUGUACUGACACCACUGUAUCACUGCUCUGUGGGAUACACAGGUGUGUAUUAAAUAGCAUAAAUAGGGAUAGUCUCAUGUGUGACGUUUCUGUACUUCAUAGGUUCAGCUACAGGUGUUUCUAUGUAUUUUUCUGUUGUUAGCCCUAAACCCACGUGUAUAACUUUUGAUACUCUAUGUCUCAAUUUAGGCAAGCUAAGAUUAAUGGGAUGAUUUAAAAAAAAAUGUGUAUGUGACAGACUCAGCCUGCAAGACCCACAUGGUGCUGAGAAGCACCUCCAGGUUGCCUUGGAAGACCAGGAGGCGCUGGUAUGGUAGAGAGCACCKUCUAGUGGUGGAGGAGUGCCUGSCAGACAUCUUGGCCCGACACCUGCGCUGACACAGCAGGGUGAGACUACCUCUCUUCUAGUGUUCUUCUGGUUCUUUUUCUCCUCUUCUUCAUCAUUAAUUGUGUCCUCCAUCGUUUCCUCAGUAGUUUAUUCUCUUCUCCCUCUUCCUCCUCGGUAGUUUACUCAGUCAGUCACAGUAUAUGAAUGUUACAGUGUGGUGAAGAUGUGACGUGUUGAGGCAGAGGCUAGCAGUGGAGCUGUAUCGACACACGG